rnacentral:rRNA from 1 species
CCUACGGGAGGCAGCAGUAGGGAAUAUUGGUCAAUGGAUGGAAGUCUGAACCAGCCAUGCCGCGUGCAGGAAGAAGGCCUUCUGGGUUGUAAACUGCUUUUGCCAGGGGAUAAAAAGACCGUGCGCGGUUAAUUGAAGGUACCUGGUGAAUAAGCCACGGCUAACUACGUGCCAGCAGCCGCGGUAAUACGUAGGUGGCAAGCGUUGUCCGGAUUUAUUGGGUUUAAAGGGUGCGUAGGCGGCCCUGUAAGUCAGUGGUGAAAUAUCUCAGCUUAACUGAGAGGGUGCCAUUGAUACUGCAGGGCUUGAGUACAGAUGAGGUAGGCGGAAUUGACGGUGUAGCGGUGAAAUGCAUAGAUAUCGUCAAGAACACCGAUAGCGAAGGCAGCUUACUAAGCUGUAACUGACGCUGAGGCACGAAAGUGUGGGGAUCAAACAGGAUUAGAUACCCUGGUAGUCCACACUGUAAACGUUGAUGACUCGAUGUUGGCGAUACACAGCCAGCGUCCAAGAGCAAUCGUUAAGUCAUCCACCUGGGGAGUACGCCGGCAACGGUGAAACUCAAAUGAAUUGACGG